rnacentral:rRNA from 1 species
CAAUAGCGUAUAUUAAAGUUGUUGCAGUUAAAAAGCUCGUAGUUGGACUUGUGGUGGUUCCUGUGGUCCAAUUUUGGUACUGUCGGGGACUGCCAUCUUUGGGUGGAUCCUGUGUGGCAUUAGGUUGUCGUGCAGGGGAUGCCCAUCGUUUACUGUGAAAAAAUUAGAGUGUUCAAAGCAGGCUUAUGCCGUUGAAUAUAUUAGCAUGGAAUAAUGAGAUAGGACCUUGGUACUAUUUUGUUGGUUUGCGCACCGAGGUAAUGAUUAAUAGGGACAGUUGUGGGUAUUCGUAUUCCAUUGUCAGAGGUGAAAUUCUUGGAUUUCUGGAAGACGAACUAAUGCGAAAGCAUUUACCAAGGAUGUUUUCAUUAA